rnacentral:rRNA from 1 species
GCCAGCCCGCUCAGAACUUAAAUGAAUUGACGGGGCCCGGCACAAGCGGAGGAGCAUGUGGUUUAAUUCGAUGAUACGCGAGGAACCUUACCUGGGCUCGAACGUAAGAUGACUGUAGGUGAAAGCUUACAUCUCUUCGGAGCAUUUUACGAGGUGCUGCAUGGUUGUCGUCAGCUCGUGCCGUGAGGUGUCGGGUUAAGUCCCAUAACGAGCGCAACCCCUACCUUUAGUUGCCAUCAGGUUAAGCUGGGGACUCUAAAGGAACUGCCUACGCAAGUAGUGAGGAAGGCGGGGAUGACGUCAAAUCAGCACGGCCCUUACGUCCAGGGCUACACACGUGCUACAAUGGCCGAUACAGAGGGCAGCUACCUGGUGACAGGAUGCAAAUCUCCAAAGUCGGUCUCAGUUCGGAUCGGAGUCUGCAACCCGACUCCGUGAAGUUGGAUUCGCUAGUAAUCGCGCAUCAGCCAUGGCGCGGUGAAUACGUUCCCGGGCCUU